ACCUGGGUGGCUCAGUCAGUUGAGUGUCUGACUUCAGCUCAGGUAACGAUCUCAUGAUUCGUGGAUUUGAGCCCCGCUUCAGGCU
rnacentral:tRNA from 1 species